rnacentral:rRNA from 1 species
CAGCAGCCACGGUAAUACGUACGUCACAAGCGUUAUCCGGAUUUAUUGGGCGUAAAGCGCGUCUAGGUGGUUAUGUAAGUCUGACGUGAAAAUGCAGGGCUCAACUCUGUAUUGCGUUGGAAACUGUGUAACUAGAGUACUGAGAGGUAAGCGGAACUACAAGCGUAGAGGCGAAAUUCGUAGAUAUUUGUAGGAAUGCCGAUGGGGAAGCCAGCUUACUGGACAGAUACUGACGCUGAAGCGCGAAAGCGUGGGUAGCAAACAGGAUUAGAUACCCCCGUAGUCCCUGUCUCUUAUACAC